rnacentral:rRNA from 1 species
GGAAUCUUCCACAAUGGGCGAAAGCCUGAUGGAGCAACGCCGCGUGAGUGAAGAAGGUUUUCGGAUCGUAAAGCUCUGUUGUUGGUGAAGAAGGAUAGAGGUAGUAACUGGCCUUUAUUUGACGGUAAUCAACCAGAAAGUCACGGCUAACUACGUGCCAG